rnacentral:rRNA from 1 species
CCAGCGGAACUUUACAUGCGGAACCGUGAUAAGGGGACACCGAGUGCCAGCGUCAUACGCUGGCUGUCCAGGUGUGUAAAAUACACCUGUUAGCAAGGGCCGGGCAAGACCGGUGCCAGCCGCCGCGGUAACACCGGCGGCCCGAGUGGUGAUCGUGAUUAUUGGGUCUAAAGGGUCCGUAGCCGGUUUGGUCAGUCCUCCGGGAAAUCUGAUAGCUUAACUAUUAGGCUUUCGGGGGAUACUGCCAGGCUUGGAACCGGGAGAGGUAAGAGGUACUACAGGGGUAGGAGUGAAAUCUUGUAAUCCCUGUGGGACCACCUGUGGCGAAGGCGUCUUACCAGAACGGGUUCGACGGUGAGGGACGAAAGCUGGGGGCACGAACCGGAUUAGAUACCCGGGUAGUCCCAGCCGUAAACGAUGCUCGCUAGGUGUCAGGCAUGGCGCGACCGUGUCUGGUGCCGCAGGGAAGCCGUGAAGCGAGCCACCYGGGAAGUACGGCCGCAAGGCUGAAACUAAAGGAAUUGGCGGGGAGCACAACAACGGUGGAGCUUGCGGUUAUUGG